UGAGGAAUAUUGGACAAUGGAGGCAACUCUGAUCCAGCCAUGCCGCGUGCAGGAAGACUGCCCUAUGGGUUGUAAACUGCUUUUAUACAGGAARAAACCACUCUACGUGUAGAGUUCUGACGGUACUGUAAGAAUAAGGAUCGGCUAACUCCGUGCCASCAGCCGCGGUAA
rnacentral:rRNA from 1 species